ACAGUACCUAGGAAAGUCAAAUGAGAAAGUGGGCUCAGACAUCCCUGCAUCAUCUUUUUGGCCACUUUCCACGUUCUCUGGUGUCUGGUGAUGCGUGGAUUAGACAGGGGUCCUGGAACCAAUGCCUUGCAGAUAUCAAGGGAUAAUUAAUAUGCCUGAAUUGUCCUACCACUGAAGACACAGCAUGAGGUAGCUGACCCAUCCCUGAGACUGCUGUGUGGGCUGAUGUCGACAUCGCUGGCCUUGCUGCAUGGAUUCCACACUGUUUUUACCAUUUACCCUCUAGUUCCUAUGGCUCUCAAUCAAUAGCUUCUUUUUUGUACUGAAGCUUCUCUAAAGUGGACAAGGUUAAAAAGAGAAAGUGUACCUUUUCAGAGUCUAAAAGUGCUAUUGUCCACCACAUAGAACACGUGUCUGAGAUUGCGGCUGUAUAUGAUAGGAUGUGGAGAAACUGGACAAAAAACAAAAUCUGACAACACUUUACAAGAGUUACAAACACCAGGAAUGCAGAGCACCGGCUUAUCAUCUAUUGACUCUAGCAUGACCAGCUCCAAAUUUGCCUUGUGUCAAUGCAGCACAGCCCCCAACUACCCCAUAAGAAGGCAGACACGAUGUGGAGAUUCAGUCCUGUUCGGGUUGUUGUUUUCAUGAUUCUAACAGAGGAUUUCACCCUGACUUAAUUUCUUGAAACUUUUUUUGAUCAAAUUCCAGGUAGCUAUAGCAAUCCCAAACUCAGCCGAUUGAAUUUGAAGGUAAUGCAAAUAAUCUUCUACAAGCUGUUGCAGUCCUGAAAGCAAUGGUUUCCUACUAAGCACUGUGGACUGUUUACAACAGCCUAGUAAGCCUUUGAUUAGCAGUCUGGAAUCUCUGGUGGGUGCUGUACAGCUCUUGAUAUAAAAUAUCACCUACCCAAUACAAUUUGUUUGGAAUCUAGCAUGGGACUACUUGAGGCAGAAGUCAUACUCUAAGGAAACACAUUCAAAAUUUGAUUCCACAUUUGUGUGAUAUGGUGAAGAUGUUUCUGUAACCUUUAACUAGCUAUAUUCCUCUUAAUUCAAUCAUCUUUUUUGAUAUACCAAUUGGAUCAGGGUCGGCCAAAAAGCUUACGGCAGCAGCUGCCAUCCCUGUUUCUUAGGAGUAAUUCAUCAGAGGAGACACAUGCUGCUGCUCACAGAAAUAAAUACCAAGAAACAACAUCAGAGGUUCAUCUUCCUUAGGAAGCUGCAUGAAGAUGGAAGGCACUGUUUUCUAAGUGGGGGUGGGGACUAUGGAGACACAAUGUCAUUAAGAACCUAGUGGAAUUAGAAAAAGAGGUAUGUGAUAUAAUAAAAAAAAAUACAUUCAAAAUACAUUCUCAGAUUAAAA